CCUCAUUUCCAGGCGUUAGGCGUCACAUUUGUUUGUUUGUCCGCUGCGUUCGAUUUCCGCUUUGUCUUCGCAUUUGGUGUUGUGUCUAGGUCGUGGCGGUUUUUGUCAACGUUUGCCGCGAUGGGGCACGAACCAGUUUGGUGAAAGUUUCCGCCAACGGUGGGUAAGUGUGAAUAUUUUAAAACUGUAUCACUUUUUACGAUGUCCCGUCAAUAGACGUGGAGUGUCGCAGGGCAAGGUUGGAACCGAGCGUUGACCGGGUAAUUUGGGUCACUGUGUAGCUUUUAUUGGUGGCCACGGCCGGUUGAGGUGGGUACGGGGCAUGGGAAAUUUGGAGCUUAAUUUGGCGCGGAGGCCCUGGAUCCGGUCGCACGGAAACCGACAUUUAGCUUUGGCGGCAAUUGCAAUUGACAGGCGAUAUAGGUGGGUCACUUUCGCAAAUAUGGCUUCACGGAAAGAAAUCGAUCCGCUGCCUCAUAAACGACAUGACAACGACCGACCCAGCCGGCUCGAUGAUGGUAAGCGGAAAUGUAAACAAACGCGCCCGAAUGUUUGCAAAAGUAUUAAUGCAGCAGGCGAGAGUGCGGGCUCAGAACAAGCUCGGUAGAGAUUCUGCGAGAGUGAUGAUUUGGCGCUUUUUGACACCGCGCUGCGCAGCAAUGGGUAAAGUAGAUUUUAUGCAAUAAACAUAUUCUGUUGACACAACAUUAAAGCCUUCUCUCUCUACUGUUGCAGGAUUCGGGAAUGGGUUACAACCCCUGAGGGUAUCCCAAACCAGGCAGGAAGCCAUUGCGCACCUCCCCCAGCAUGCCGCUUAAGCCUUUCGAAUCGCUCGACGGAAAGGUUUCGCACACACGACGCAGGCGAGGAACGAACGCACCGGACCGACAACAGUCCCUGAAGCGGGAAUGAUGGCAACUCGUCGUCGUCGUUGUUGCUGCCGUCGCCGCCACAUCGCCAACAACGGUGUAAGUAAAUAUUGACUUUUAAUUAAAACCUAAUCUGAAGACCUCUGUUUGUGUGCGAGCCCGAGCGUGUUGCGAAUCGGAUGUAGACAGGACUAUGUGUAGGGAGAGGGAGAGUUGGGACUGUUUUUUUUCCCGUCACCGGGAGUCACCGAGUUGGUGGCGUGCGAUGCGCUUCCCGUUUGUUGUUCAUUGUGUUCCGAAACGGUUGGAGCUUCUUCAACGCGGCCGAUGGAAUGUUGCCUGUGCCGUGCUUUACUCGAAUUGUUGCCACCGGAUGUGGCGAUCUCGGAAUCAUCAACACCAUCCGUUCUGUGGGUUCUGGCGGGGUGGCAAACGGGACAGGGACGUCUGACGGGGGAUGACGAAUUCGGUUAUGGUCCGUAGUUUUCCAGCAGUUUGACGCGUUGGAUGUUGUUAGAUGGGCGUUUUUUUCCUUUCUCUCUCUCACUGUCCCAGGGUAGGUACCGUACCGUAUAGCUGCCACGGUUGGGCAAGUUUGUACCACCACACAAAGUCGUCUCGUGGGAUGGACGCAAUGGGACAAACACAACACGAGAGGAGGAAAAAAAACAGCGUACAGAACCCAGAACCUAUAUGUGUGUUGCGGGGUUUAAUCCAUGCACCGUUCCGAGCCGCUGGCCAAACGGUCACCACACUCGGAUCGCUCGAUGCGGUGGUACAGGUCCACCUUCAGCCGAACCGGACCCGGACCGGACGCCUUUUGCCGAGUAAUAGGCUUUUUAUUUGAUUUGCACUGCGCCAACAGUCGGGCCGGGACAGCGUGCAGCUGUGGUGGCAAGCUUGCUGAAGCAUACGAGAUUGAGAGCAGAUUGAGCGGCGAUAUGUGGAGCGGCACGGCACCGAUCAAGGGCAGACAUUAAGCUUGGGCUUGGUCGCUGAAGCUGCACGAACUCGGAUGUCCCUCCCCCACCCCCCCGUCCCCCUGGGUCGUUUGAAUUUAUCGACCGAAGCCCUCGGGAAUGGUGUGCAGCCUGCUCUGGUAAUGAACUGUGCUGUUACCUACCCGUUGCGCUGGGUCUUUGCAUAGGAAUCCAACCACAAUCGCAAAAGGCUGGCCCAGAGAUACGGAGUAGAAAUGUUUGCUCCCAAAAAAACACAGAACAAGUGCACCCACCAACCAACCAAAGUGCACCUUGGGUGUUUUUUACGGUGGCUGUAAUCAAAGUUGGACAAAAAGUGUUUGAAAAAGCUUAACUCUACCCCUCUGCUCGUGCUCAGUGUCGUGCACGUUGCAGCAAGUUAAAGGGCUUUCAGCGCCUGCACCGGUGACCUACUCGCCGAUGAUGGCGCUGAAAAGCUGAACGAGCUGAGGAGAACGCAUGCAGAAGGAAACGACCGACUCGGGAUGAUGUUUCUACCAUUUGCUCACACACACGGACACAGAGCUUUUGAUUGUGAAAGUUUGUCACAAUCAUUCCAAACACGGGCUGGGGGCCACGGUGCGCUCCCCAGCGCCCUUCCUGCACUGUACCGCAGCAGCAUGAAAUCAGAAGCCGCCACAGCAACGGCAACUUUUGCAACGUCUGCAAUUAUCCGCAAGCACGCCGGGCUGACUCCGGGUCGUUCUCCGGUGCAGCAGGUCCGUUUGGCAAAGGUAAAGUUUUGCUUCGCUGUGUAAAGCGUGAGAUUAUCUUCCUACCUCUGUUAAAGUUGGGCGCUUGGCUUACCAGUAACUGUCAAUCAGUGGGCUAAUUACAGACGACGCACUGUGUUGAAGCGAAAUCGGGACAAAUUGUACCGAGUACCACGCCCUGUGCUGUGAUUCGGCGGACGUGAUAAGGCGGAGAUACAGCUUUAAAGAAUCAUGGUGAUUAGAGCUAGCCGCAUAUCCAAACGAUGUACCUAUGCUCGCGAGACUAGAAUGCACAUGCUCUCUUUAACGGCUGUUCCGGAGUUCAUUGACGCGCCGGUCACGGGGUGACAUACGCUGAAUCUGACGGAAUCGUCCAUCCGAACGAUAAGAGGUACGGUUUUGAUUGCUCUUGACAUCCGUCAGACGGCCGAAAACCCGACCGGUGGCUUAUCUUUCGUCGGGUCAAACACUGGUUGCGGGUCUCGGGUCAAUUAAACUCGUACGCUUCGAUGAGUCUCCGGCAAGCCGUUGCAUUUUUGACCGCCUAGAUUGGAGUGUGCGUGUGUGUGUGUGAAGAACAUCUGUGGGACAUGUGGUGAUCGGUUAGCAAACAGGCAGCGAUUGUGAAGUAGCCACCGAGAACGCGCCGUCGCUGAUAAGGAGGAGAGAACCAUUGCCACCGGAUUGUCCAUAUUCAAAUAUGUCAAAUGUCGCGUUCGUGUCGGGCGGGGAACGAUGCGGGAUGAUGGGCAUCAUUACACUUUUAACGACCUUUCAUGUUCUUCCUUCCCUUUCAGUUCCCCACCACAUGCCGCAUUGAUAACUGUCUCUCUCAGUGUGUGUGUGUGUGCGGAGGUAAAACAUGGCCUCCAAGUGGCCUUCCCGCAAUAAAGCCCGCAUUUUAUUGCAAUCGAUUUUACCGCGCACGGAAGCCGCUGUGCCCGUUUUGCGGCAAAAUCGAUAUUUUUCGGCGUGUUUCGGCUGUUUGCGGCCGGUCCCACCGUCAGGCGUAAAUUGAUGAGCCACGGAGACGUGUUGACGGGGGAGAAAAAAGACCUGGCAGCCUAUCAAAUCAACCUUGAGGGGAUGAUAUUCCGAUGGCGUGCUUUUUGUUUGCGUUGCCUUUCGGAGCAUUUCACUUUUUCGCAUCGACCUUUGUGGCCCCCGAAGAAGGAAGGUGCGGCACGCUGCCGGCUUUCGGAUCGAUCCAGUAAAAGGGAUUGAAGGCUGAUGGAUAGCGAAAUAGACGACCGAUGAGGUAAGCAAUAUUAACGGGGUCCGCACGAAGAGCGCGCAGGAAGCAGUCGCACAACCCGGCACACCCGGCACGCCCGGCAGAAAAGCGGUCAACCUGAACGGGGGAGGGGCGGAGGGCUGGCGGGGGCGCUUGUGCUGACAUUGACGUUAUCGUGUCGCGUUGGAGGGAUGGUAUGAAAAAUGAAGGCAAGAAAUGGUCGCAUUAGUCGCAUCUCGAGACACCGGACUCUCUUCGGGCCAUCGGGACCAGCCAGAAGACCCUAGGCUUGUGCUUGUGUGUGUGUGUGUGUAUGUGUUUGGUGGUCUGUCAAGAUAAGUACAGCCCGAGACGGUGGCUAUUAGGGCUUUCACGUCAUGGCAUAGGGCAGUGGCAAGACGGGACGGCAGCAUGCCCAUAGGUACGCAGCGCACCCGACGUGAUGGAAUACCUCUCGAAGAAACCAAGGGAGAGGAAGAGAAGGGAAAGAAGGGAAAAUUAUAGGUGUAAAGGAGACAAACGAAUGCGUAAUGCGAGCACGAAACGGAAGGACCGGAGGAACCGGGGCAACCACCGUGUGGCCAUUUCAUUCGUGUGUGUGUACGUGUGUGUGUGUCGCGUCGAAGGAAUUGAGUUUUUAUUUUAAUUUCUUCCUUCUUUCCUUAGCAUUUGUGUACAUUUUUUUCUCCCUCUCUUUCUCUGUAUGUUCCCUUGCGUCUCCAUGGUCGCGGCUCAUUUCAGGUUUCUGUACCCAUUGCUUCCAGGCCAGGCUUCUGCUCCCGGCAGCACCCACAGACCCUCGAUCUAGUUCAGGUUUCACCGAGCAAUGGUAUCAGGUUUUUGCUGUCUUUCUUAUUUUAAUUUUUAUUACAUAAAGGUAAUAGUGGUAAUAAAAUAUAAACUAGUUUCUCGGUUUUUUUCCCUUUGCUUUCAGUUCAGCCUUUUUUCUCUCUCUCUCUUCUUUCAGUAUGCAUGCGUGUGUGUGAUGUAGUUGUCGUUCGAGUUGAGCUGGCACGGUGGAACUUCCACCGGCACGAUGCGCGCAUCAUAAGCGACCGCGCAUACGCCCGGUAGCAUGGCGUGGAGGACAACGCUUCGGUGGCUCUCCUCCACCUGGAGGGCGUCACACGAACACACGCAUAGCGCCAACCGAUGUACCGAUGCUGGCGAAUUAUCAUAUCGGAGGCGAUGGCAUGGGGGUCAUCUGUUACAACGCGCCAGCAAGAUGACGGGGGAAGGUUAAUUCGCCUUUCACCAGCGCGUCAUACACGCACUCUUUUCGAUCUCGAUUGUGUGACCGCGAAAGAAUUGGACAUGGAUGUGUGUGUGUGUGUGUUCUUGGGCACGGGAAUGAUGGAUUGUGUGGCUGGUCUGGCCAGAAGUCGGAGGAGCCACGACACACGCACCAGCCACGACCACGAACGAACGGCGACCCGGUUUCGGCGGAAAGUGUUGCGGUCGAUUAGUCUGUGGUUUUGUGAAGCUGUUUGCAUGAGGGUUUAGGUGUUGUUUGUUGUGUCUUUCUCCCCGUUGGACAGCGGAAAUCAUGAACCUACCCGUCCCCGGGCAGGAGGUUGACCUUUGCAAUGGGAAGGAUUCCGAUGACUCCGUUGUUUGUGUAAUUGCGGAAUGAAGUUCAUCCUUAAAGUAAAUAUUCAUUCCAACUAGAACACUAAUGACACCGUUCACGGUGCUGUUAUCAGGAUGUGUGUUGUGACUUGGACGCUAGCUAGACGACACACGGUGUUGCUCCAGUGCGGUGUAAUGUUUCGCAAACAAUCGUAUCCGCUUCCAAGAAAGCUAGUAGUGUACUGUUGAUAGUGCAUCGUUCCUAUCGUUCGUGCUGCACAUCGGACGGUGGUUUGCGGACGCUCAAAGGCUUUCGGUGCGACAUAACGGACCAAAACAUGUGUACGAAACUCGAUGAAACGUGCCGACCGUGAGUAAUGUGGCGUGUUUUUGUGUUGUCCGAACGACUGAAGACUAAUGGAACAAUACCUGGAGAAAGAUGAAGCGAUGCCGCCGAUGCAGCAAAGAGCCUUUCCGCGGGCACAUCCCUGCAAUCAUCCCACGUCGAUGGACACCCCGUAAUGAACCUUUGUGAGUGGAUGUAUGUUUCCGUCCGUUGUUGGCAUAAAGUGUAAAUUAAUUUCUGAAAAUAAUGUUACGAUCCCAAACAAACAGCCAAAACGAUCCCUUGCACUGCUGCCAGGUCAGUCCCUAACAAACAAAACAUUCACAAAAACUCGAGAAACUGAGCCUAUGUAAUGUGUUUUUAGGUCUCUUUAUUCGACCUCCUCCCGUACAAGUGCUCGGUGAAUCGUUGACCGAGUGAAAUAAAA